ensembl:lncRNA
GUUCAUUUGUAGACUCUGCGCAGUGACCUCUGCAGAACAUACACUCGAUAGCAGCACACGGAGGAGGAGCACUGCAAACUGGGGCUCUCGCUCUGCAGAGCUCUGGAGCCUGCGCUCCCCUUCAGAAUGAGGACAGUCGCCUUACAGCCGGAACUGUAAGGUCAGAUGUGCAUCGAGACUGCAAGUCCAGCUGCAUGUGAGGCUUCCCAGACCAUGCAGAACCCCAAGUGGGUGUGCUCUGGGGGCAAGGCAAGGACAGACCACGGUGGGCUGCAUCGAAUGAGACCCUAUUUUCUGGAGGCAGUCCCUAAGUGCCUCCACUGUGAGCAAGUCCUUGUACCGGAUGGCUUCCAGUAGCAGACCUAAGCCUGACGUCUUCCUUUCAGCUUGGCAAAUAGGAGAAGCACAUGAGGUCACCUGGCUUGCAGCUCAAGUCUAACUUGGAGACUCUUCCAAUUCCUCUCGAGUUAUCCCGAGCUACCGAAAUCGGCGUGUGUGUUUUCGCGCUGAGUUGAUGUACCCCUUUUGGUUACAUUUCUACGAGUCGGACUAACGAGAACGGAGCCCUCCGCGUUUCUGCCGCUCUCCAUUCGCUCCUGCAGCCCCCCCCGGCCGUAGCGCUCCGUACGGACCCACCGGUCGGGCCCCGACGGCAGCGCACUGCGGGCAGCCCCGGCCGCAGCCCCUCCGCCGUUCUCUCUCCGUCCGAGGUCGUUUCUCUCUCUCUCCUUUGCAAACGUUUUCCUAAAAAUAAAACUUCCACAGAAAUGUUUUAAGACGAGGUUCGCGAGGAAACGGUUUAAUUUUCACCAUAUGUCGCCACAGAUUAAAGAAAAAAAAAAUCUUUCCGCUGAAGCUACCAAAACCAAAAAAAAAAGACUUAAUCUAAGAAUGCGUUCUCCUUAAUCCGUCCUCCCCCCAACACCCUGUGGGCCAUUUUACGGGCCCCAAAUAAAUCUUUCAGGUGGCAGCGAGGCGAAGAAGCGGCGCAGUGAUGACGGAGGAGCAGCCCCUGCCCCGCGUUAAUGCCACCGACGGGUGGGUCCGCGGCAGCCGCCCACCGCCGGGACGGAGGGACCCAUCUGAAUGAAAAUCUAUUAGCCCUCCUCUCAGAGACGGGAGCCGCGGAAAUCGAUAAAGAGCAGAGAAAGGGAACAAGGCGCAGGUUCCUAAAUUAAAAAAAAAAAAAAAAAAAAAAGGAAAAAAAAGAAAAAAAAAAGGAAAAAAAAAAAAAAGGGAAAAGAAUCCCAUCUAUGAAAUGUGCGAGGACGGCUGUAAAAUCCUGACCCCCUCGAUCGAUACUGAUAAAUAUUUAAUGCUUUCUUUCUUUCUUUCUUUCUUUCUUUUUUUUUUUUUUUCCUAAACACAAAUUGAAACCCAUUAACGCCGCAUCCAUUCUUAUUAUUAAAACAAAUUGUCCUCGCAAUGAUGCGCCCUGGAAAUGGAGCCCGAUUGAAAGGGCAGCCUCGGAAAGAUGUUUACUCGCUUUCAUGUAAACCAAUAAAAACCUGCGGGAGUCCGUAGAGCGGGCGGGAGGGUUUGAUGUGCGAUGUCCAUGAUUACAGCCCCGGAAUUAAUCACGGGAGGGAGGAGGGGGGCAGAGGGCUGCGGUGGAGGAGAGGGCUGCGCUCUGUGUUCCGAGCGGCGCUCCCCGCGCAGCGCUCCUUACCGCGCGGAUCCGAGCUGGGGUUUCGCUGUUGGCUUAUUUGCCCCAUUCCGACCGAAAUCAGCUGAAUGGGGGGUGGGG